rnacentral:rRNA from 1 species
CCUACGGGUGGCAGCAGUGGGGAAUAUUGGAUAAUGGGGGCAACCCUGAUCCAGCCAUGCCGCGUGUGUGAAGAAGGCCCUCGGGUUGUAAAGCACUUUCAGUGAGGAAGAACGCCUGGUGGUUAAUACCCAUCAGGAAAGACAUCACUCACAGAAGAAGCACCGGCUAACUCCGUGCCAGCAGCCGCGGUAAUACGGAGGGUGCGAGCGUUAAUCGGAAUUACUGGGCGUAAAGCGCGCGUAGGUGGCUUGAUAAGCCGGUUGUGAAAGCCCCGGGCUCAACCUGGGAACGGCAUCCGGAACUGUCAAGCUAGAGUGCAGGAGAGGAAGGUAGAAUUCCCGGUGUAGCGGUGAAAUGCGUAGAGAUCGGGAGGAAUACCAGUGGCGAAGGCGGCCUUCUGGACUGACACUGACACUGAGGUGCGAAAGCGUGGUUAGCAAACAGGAUUAGAUACCCCGGUAGUC